rnacentral:rRNA from 1 species
GUCGAACGAAGUACAAUACCUAGUGGCAGACGGGUGAGUAACAUGUAGCCCUUUGCCCUUUGGCCUGGAAUAACACGAGGAAACUUGUGCUAAUACCGGAUAAGUCUUUACGGAGAAAGCUUCAUGCACCAUUGGAUGAGCCUGCACUUGAUUAGUUUGUUGGUGGGGUAAUGGCCUACCAAGACUGUGAUCAAUAGCUGAUUUGAGAGGAUGAUCAGCCACAUUGGGACUGAGACACGGCCCAAACUCCUACGGGAGGCAGCAGUGGGGAAUCUUGCACAAUGGAGGAAACUCUGAUGCAGCGAUGCCGCGUGAGUGAAGAAGGCCCUUGGGUUGUAAAGCUCUUUCGUCGGGGAAGAAAAUGACUGUACCCGAAUAAGAAGGUCCGGCUAACUUCGUGCCAGCAGCCGCGGUAAUACGAAGGGACCUAGCGUAGUUCGGAAUUACUGGGCUUAAAGAGUUCGUAGGUGGUUGAAAAAGUUAGUGGUGAAAUCCCAGAGCUUAACUCUGGAACUGCCAUUAAAACUUUUCAGCUAGAGUAUGAUAGAGGAAAGCAGAAUUUCUAGUGUAGAGGUGAAAUUCGUAGAUAUUAGAAAGAAUACCAAUUGCGAAGGCAGCUUUCUGGAUCAUUACUGACACUGAGGAACGAAAGCAUGGGUAGCGAAGAGGAUUAUAUACCCUCGUAGUCCAUGCCGUACACGAUGUGUGUUAGACGUUGGAAAUUUAUUUUCAGUGUCGCAGGUAAACCGAUAAACACACCGCCUGGGGAGUACGACCGCAAGGUUAAAACUCAAAUGAAUUGACGGGGACCCGCACAAGUAGUGGAGCAUGUGGUU